CAUUUUCAAUAUUCAUAUCGACUACAUUUGUAAGAUCUAGCUAGUUUCUCUCAUUCAAUUUGGUUUGCAAAUGGAACACUUUCAGCAGCUCACCUCGACUCAAAAGAAUGCAGUCCAUGAUCCCUUAUCGAUUCGAAAGGAUGUUGGUUCGACAAAAAGUCGCAAUAUAACCAGGAUCCACCGUCGAGUUGUUGAGGCGACGAUGGAGGCCACAUCUGCCUACCCAAAAACUCCCAUACCCCCAAUGGAAGCCACAUUUGCCCACCCAAAAACUCCCAUACCCCUAAAGAAAUUGAUUUCAAUGUAAACAAAUGACCAACUGAGGCUGAUGCAUAUUGUAUGGAUAUUUAAGUUUUCUACUAUAUGGCUUUGUUGCUCCGUUUA